rnacentral:lncRNA from 1 species
UAGCACUCAGGUAACCUAUUUCGAUAGGGUGCAACUCUAUCGAUGGCCUCGCGACACAUGCAUCACCACAUCUGCAGAUACAGAACGCUUCCUCAAUUUCUCGCUCCGUUUUUCCGCCAAAUCACGCC